rnacentral:rRNA from 1 species
GAUGAACGCUAGCGACAGGCCUAACACAUGCAAGUCGAGGGGCAGCACAAGGAGCAAUCUGGAGGUGGCGACCGGCGCGACGGGUGAGUAACACGUAUGCAACCUACCUGUAAGAGGGGGAUAACCCGUUGAAAGACGGACUAAUACCGCAUAAUACUGAAUAACCGCAUGGUUAAUCAGUUAAACAUUUAUGGCUUACAGAUGGGCAUGCGCAUGAUUAGCUAGUUGGUGAGGUAACGGCUCACCAAGGCAACGAUCAUUAGGGGUUCUGAGAGGAAGGUCCCCCACACUGGUACUGAGACACGGACCAGACUCCUACGGGAGGCAGCAGUGAGGAAUAUUGGUCAAUGGGCGAGAGCCUGAACCAGCCAAGUCGCGUGAAGGAUGAAGGUUUUAUGAAUUGUAAACUUCUUUUGCAGGGGAAUAAAGUGCGGUACGUGUACCGUUUUGUAUGUACUCUGCGAAUAAGGAUCGGCUAACUCCGUG